CGGCAGACCUCGCCGCAUUUCAUUUCAUGGCCUCCGCCCUGUCUCCUCCCCUUCCCUCCCUCACCGAAAGAGUAGAGAAGAGAAGAGAAGAGACGAGAGGCACCGAGCGGUCAGGCGGCGGCCCAGAUCAGUCCGCCACGGUCCGGCCAUGGGGACCGGAGCUCCGAGCGGCCGUCCUUCUCGUCAAGGGCGGGCCUUGCUUCCUCCGUCUCCUUCCUUCCUUCCUUGUCCUCGGCCAUGCCGAGAAGCAAGGAGGAGGAUCUGCCCUACGGAAGGAAGGAAGAAGCCGCCGGUGCCGGCGAGCACAAGGAAUCGACGGGGACGGCUGCUCCUCCCAAGGGAAAACUAUCAACAUCCUGAAGGUGAUAGGUUUCUGGGCUGGUAGCGACACUCGCUCAGACGCUCACAGACCAGACCUGUGUAGGCACUAGGUGAUGAUGAUGCAGUGGGUAAUAAUCACUCUACUUCUGGCCGCAUCCCUCCUAUUGUUGAGAUGACAAUGAUCUUUAUUUUGAGAACUGGGAUGGUGAUUAUGAUGCUGGUGGUAGAGAGUCAAAGCUCUGAUGAUUCUGGUUGUGAGGCGCACAAGAGAAAGUGUGGUGUGCGCGGCGGAGAAGGCACCCAACAUUACCAGCGAGUCCGUCAACCUGCGCCGGUGCUCACUUGAGGCCUCCCAACCUGCCCCUCCGGUGGCCUCUUCUUCUUCGACCGGCACUAGGUGAUGAUGAUCCACUGGGUAAUAAUCACUCUACGUCUGGCCGCGUCCCUCCUAUUGUUGAAAAUGACGAUGAUCUUGAUUUUAUGAACUGGGAUGGCGAUGCUGAUGCUGGUUGUAGAGAGUCAAGCUCUGAUUAUUCUGGUUGUGAGGCGUUGGAUAAUCGGGUUUGAGAGGCUGACUGACACUCAGCCAGAGCUAUACGUCCACAUUGUCCCUGACAAGGCCACAACCAAACUAACGUUUACCGAAAGCAGUAUUGGUAUCCCUCACUGUAGAGGAAGCUCUGUCCAACACUGGAGGCGGUUCAAAGACGUCAGCAUCUGCAGGCAUGCCAAGCUAUCCCUCAUGGCUGAUCCUGUCGGGUUUCCCUAUUUUCCUGUCGGUUUUGGGCUCACAGAGAUUUUUCAGUUUCUGGUAGUGAACUACACCGUCCUGGCGGGCACCCUCGCCGGCCUGAGUGUCCUUGGCUGGUACCUCCCGUUGAAGCCAAGAAGACGGAGGUCGUCGACUAAUUGUGGUCUAUGGACGUUGAUGCAUGGAAGUGGCAUUCUAGUGCCAUCGAGAUUGAUGAUGAAGAUGUUGUUACCUGCAAAAGUAUGAAGGCACCGGGGGAGAGAAGUGCCUUCGCGAGCGUCAACCGGAGGAGCCUGCAGGGUUCUCUAUAAAGGUGAUCCUGGACGGCGAGGGGUGCAAGGCGUUGUGCGCUGAGUUCUCCAAGGUCAUGCAACAGAAAAUGGAACAAGAGAAGCAGGAGAAGCUCGCACACAAGGUAUGCCAGCAUACAGUUCCUUGAACCGCUGAACUGGGUAGUGAGUUUUCAUGGUUUAUUUCCGUAGUUCUUCUCUUCUUGUGAUACCGUGUACAACAAAUUAGCACCCAUAUUUACAUGCCCAAUAGACAUGUAUGUUUUAGCCUCCUAUGUUGAAAUGCAUUACUAUAUAUGCUCUGUGCAUUACUAUCUCUUGAGCCACUGAACUUUUUUUUCGAGAGAACACAAGAGAGCUUGUGUUUCAUUGCAUUGAAAAGAAAGAGAGUUUUGGUUACAUUCCUCCUAGGAGGUUGUUGCAAUGCUCAUGAGCACAUCAGUGGACGUCCCAUUUUUGGGGUGUGGUGGCACAAAGCCCUAAAGCACCGGCGCUAUCCACUAGUAGAAAAAGGGUCAAAUGUGCGACACAUUAGUCCCGGUUUGUAACAGAACCGACACUAAUGUGUCCAUUAGUGCUAGUUCCAACGGCUAGGAGGGAGGACCUCUUUAGUAUCGGUUCGUGGCGAACCUCUAGCACCGGUUCGUGCCACAAAUCGGUACUUAAGAAAGUGGUGGCAGGAUGUUGUCAGA